rnacentral:rRNA from 1 species
CUAAGAAUCUUCCGCAAUGGGCGAAAGCCUGACGGAGCGACGCCGCGUGAACGAAGAAGGCCGUGAGGUUGUAAAGUUCUUUUCCUGGGGAGGAAUAAUGCGUGGAGGGAAUGCCAUGCAGAUGACGUGAACCAGGGAAUAAGCCCCGGCUAAUUACGUGCCAGCAGCCGCGGUAACACGUAAGGGGCAAGCGUUGUUCGGAUUUAUUGGGCGUAAAGGGCGUGUAGGCGGCAGUACAAGUCUGGUGUGAAAUACUCCGGCUCAACCGGAGAGACGCGCUGGAAACUGUACUGCUAGAGUUUAGGAGGGGGAGCUGGAAUUCCUGGUGUAGGGGUGAAAUCUGUAGAGAUCAGGAAGAACACCGGAGGCGAAGGCGAGCUCCUGGCCAUAGACUGACGCUGAGGCGCGAAAGCGUGGGGAGCGAACAGG